UACGGAGGGUGCAAGCGUUAUCCGGAUUCACUGGGUUUAAAGGGUGCGUAGGUGGGUCUGUAAGUCCGUGGUGAAAUCUCCAAGCUUAACUUGGAAACUGCCAUGGAUACUAUAGGUCUUGAAUACCGUGGAGGUGAGCGGAAUAUGCCAUGUAGCGGUGAAAUGCUUAGAUAUGACAUAGAACACCAAUUGCGAAGGCAGCUCACUACACGAAUAUUGACACUGAGGCACGAAAGCGUGGGGAUCAAACAGG
rnacentral:rRNA from 1 species